UCUGAGACUCACUCACAGUUUCCUUCUGUACUUUGUAAUUUCUCCCUGUGAGCUCAUUUUCAGCAGGAGUUUCUUCCUCUAGGUAUCCCAGGUGCCCCGCUUGUGGAGGCAUGCCUCAGGAAAGGUUUGCCUUUGCCUCUGCCGGGGUCCUAGUGAGUUUCAUAGACUCCAAAUGGACUUAUACAUUGAUUUCUCUGUUGGUUGUUUCCACACUGUGAGUGAUGAGAAUUUGGACCCCACCUCUAUUACUUGGCACAAGCUUGGAUUUUGGUCUUCCCCAGAUUAUCAUUUUUCUACCCAAAAUUUUAGUCCUGCUCCAUGCCAUCACCACUCCUCCAGCUGGUGGAUGGGGUGUGUCUAGCUCUCUAAACAUACAACGAUAGUAGGGCCCCAUUUCUGGCCUCUGCCACCCAAGAGGCUGUGAUUUUCACAUCUGCCCCUGACUGGGUGUUAAAGCCCCAGCCCCGUCGAUAUGCAUCUGGCUUCAAUUCCCCUUCAGCGCUCAUUCAUGACUCUGACUCUGAAUUCCCAUUUGUUUUUAGAAUCUGGAAUUUCUCCCUUUUUCCUUUCAAAUGCAGCUGUGAUUUCAAAUUGUUUUAUCCAAUAUUUAUAUAUGUGGGGGAAAGGGAGCUCCCUGUGCCAGCUCAGACCAAAAUCCCUUAGUGCUGUAAUUAGCUGUCACCGCUGUCUUUCCCACCGGCUGUGGGA
rnacentral:lncRNA from 1 species